UCACUAAGUCUAUGACUUAGCGUGUAAGUGAUUUACACGUAGGUACAGAAAAGUAAGAAGAUCGAUCUUAAGAGCAGCAACGCAGCAUACCAUCAUUAGGGGAUCAAAUCAGAAGUAAACAACAAAUGGAGAAAAGAAUU